GACGAACGCUGGCGGCGCGCCUAACACAUGCAAGUCGAACGAGCGAGAGAGAGCUUGCUUUCUCGAGCGAGUGGCGAACGGGUGAGUAACGCGUGAGGAACCUGCCUCAAAGAGGGGGACAACAACUGGAAACGAAUGCUAAUACCGCAUAAGCCCACGACCCGCCAUUUGGUAGAGGGAAAAGCAGCAAUCCGCUUUGAGAUGGCACCGCGUCCGAUUAGCUAGUUGGUGAGGUAACUGCCCACCACAGGGACGGUCGGUAGCCGGACUGAGGGGUUGAACGGCCACAUUGGGACUGAGACACGGCCCAGCCUCAUACGGGAGGCAGCAGUAGGGAAUAUUGUACAAUGGGGGAAACCCUGAUGCCGCGACGCCGGGUGGAGGAAGAAGGUCUUCGGAUUGUCAACUCCUGUUGUUGAGGAAGAUAAUGACGGUAAUCAACAAGGAAGUGACGGCUAACUACGUG
rnacentral:rRNA from 1 species